rnacentral:rRNA from 1 species
AUUGAACGCUGGCGGCAUGCUUUACACAUGCAAGUCGAACGGUAACAGGUCUUCGGAUGCUGACGAGUGGCGAACGGGUGAGUAAUACAUCGGAACGUGCCUAGUAGUGGGGGAUAACUACUCGAAAGAGUAGCUAAUACCGCAUGAGAUCUACGGAUGAAAGCAGGGGACCUUCGGGCCUUGUGCUACUAGAGCGGCUGAUGGCAGAUUAGGUAGUUGGUGGGGUAAAGGCUUACCAAGCCUGCGAUCUGUAGCUGGUCUGAGAGGACGACCAGCCACACUGGAACUGAGACCCGGCCCAGACUCCUACGGGAGGCAGCAGUGGGGAAUUUUGGACAAUGGGCGAAAGCCUGAUCCAGCAAUGCCGCGUGCAGGAUGAAGGCCCUCGGGUUGUAAACUGCUUUUGUACGGACGAAAAGCCUGGGGCUAAUAUCCCCGGGUCAUGACGGUACCGUAAGAAUAAGCACCGGCUAACUACGUG